UGAGGGAAGGGGCGGUUUUGGGUAUUUUAUGGCUUUUUCUGAAAAACCUGAGGAAGUGGUGGUAUUAUCAUAUGUCAAACUGAUUCACCAUGCGCGUCUGCAUAAAAAAACACGAGAGAGCCUUCCAAGUUCAAGGAUCUUAAGCUGAGACUCAAUCCAGAGUUGAAGAAGAAGGAGCGUGUCACACGUGACCGGAGUUCAUUGAAUGCAUCAUCCGGAGUUCAUACGAAAUCAUUUCAGCAGCGGCAGGCCAGUGCGAAAUCCGGUGGGGGAGUUCGUCGGAUUCUUCCAAUCCGGUCAAAUUAAAUUUCGCAUUGGGGAUUGAACGUCCCCAUAAGAAUCAGACGGCUGGGAGAGAUGAAAGGCUCAUCAUGCGCUCUCGUUGUGUGCGUUCUCUCCGCUUCCACGGUGGCCCUCUCCUCCUCCUCAGGUGACCGCCACCUCACCUUUGCCACCCCUUGUCCCAAUCAGGAAUUUUCACAAUCCUCUGCCUCUUCUCCGGCGGGGAAUGAGAGGGGAAAGAAUUGGGGGCGGAAGGCAAGUCUAGAAAAGGAGAAUUUUGCUCCAAGAUUCGAUGGGUUGAGGUUCAUUGAGACUUUGGUCACGGCCCACAGGUGAAAGCUGCCGAAAUGGUGGUGAGGCACUUGUGCCAAGGAAAUGGUGGUAUCAGUUCUUUAAGAUUUCAUUGUUUUAAAAUUCAUACACAAAAGAGAAACCCAUAAUUUGCCUUUGAUUUUGAUUUUUUUUCUAAAUUGUGAUUCCGGAUUGAUGAGUGACACUUUUUUUUUUU